UGCUUUAAUCCAUCCAUUUUUUAUUGGAGAAGUACUGAUUGAGUGCAAAUUGUGUGUCAGGCACUGUACUCAGAGCUGGUGAUUCAGGGAUGCACAUAAUGGAGAUUGUUCCUGCCUUUAUGGACCAGUAUCCAGGGACCUGAAUGGAAAGGCAUUAGAAAUAAUGCAAUAUAGGUAGAAGACUUUUUCAAUAAUUCAGGGGUAUUAUGGCCUGAAAGUAGGUGUUGGCAAUAGCAUUGAAAAGCAAAGUGUCUAUUCCAGGGAAUUUUUGAGGUAGAUUUUAUAGUUUUAAAUUUCAAGGAUGACAAAAAAGGAAAGACACUAAAGGAAAAGAAAAAUUAGGAUGGGGAUAUAUUUUCUUUCUUUCUUUCUUUCUUUUUUUUUUUUAAAGAUUGGCACCUGAGUUAACAUCUGUUGCGACUCUUCUUCUUCUUCUUUUUCUUCUCCUCAAAGCUUGCAUAUUCUAGUUGCAGGUCCUUCUAGUUGUGCUUUGUGGGAUGCCACCUCAGCUGGCUUGAUGAGUGGUGCCACGUCUGCACCCAGGAUCCAAAACUGCGAAACCCUGGGCCACCGAAGCAGAGCACUCAUAACCACUCUGCCCGGGGGAUAUAUUUUCUGUAUGCUUAUUGUUAGUGAUGAAACAUAGCAGAGUGAUCAGAUUAGACCUGUGACCAAAAUCAGAAAAAAAAAAAAUAGGUAGAAUGAUUUAUCACCUGAAGGAAAAAUGUCUACUAAUGAGCUCUCUCAGAAAAUGAAUUUGGUAGGUUUGUGAAGACCCCUGUUGGAGUCAUCUAAAAAAGCAGUAGAUCUCCCCUCAUUCCUUUGCCGUUGAAAUUUCAGUACCCAGUAGAAGGAAUGAUCUUCUUGGGUUUAUACUCCUUUCCAACUUAGAUUUCAUGGUUGUUACAGUAAAAAAUAAUUUAAAUUUUGGAGUCUGUCUCAUUCUCAAAGUGGUGAUUUAAGCAAAACCUAGACAAGUAAGACAAGCAAAAAAAUCCCCCCUAAACAAACAAGUGAAAUCAGCACUUUUUUGUGACUGCAUGUUUGGUGAUAGAAAAGUCAGAUAUUUGGUAUAGAGUGAGAAGAAAGGCUAUAUUUGGAUUUAUAAACUUACAGGCAUAGAAGUUUAUUUAUAGAUGCAUAGCUGUUAGCCAGAAUUUCUAGAUCUCAGCACUAUUGACAUUUUGGAACAGAUGUUUCUUUGUUGUUGAGGGUUGUUCUGUGCCCUGUAGAAUCAGCAGCAUCCUUGGUUUCUACCACUAGAUGCCAAGAUCAUCUCCCAGCCCCAAAGUCUUGACAAUUGAAAAUGUCUCUGGACAGUGUCAACUGUCUCCAAGAGUCCAAGAGGGUGAAAUCACCGCCAGCUGAGAACUACUGACAUAGCUGUGUUGAUAGUUUCAUUCUUUCUGUUUCUGUCUUUCCUGUAGUGCAGAAAGAAGAUGAGCCCUAAAGUAGACGCUGUGAAAAAGCAGGGUGGCCCUGAGAGGAACACUAGAACUCCUUCUUUUAGGGAGUCUCUUUAUGCAUGCAGAUGCUUGAUCCUGGGACAAGAACCACGUGUGAUCUCUCUUUGCAACCUUACAGUUCCCAGGACAGCACCUUGCCUGUGGCGUGUGCUUAGUGUCUGUGGAAUUCAGCUGAGUUGCUGAAGAAAUGC
rnacentral:lncRNA from 1 species